GGCAAUGAUUGAAAAUGGUCUUACUUCUUUCCCAGUCCGACUCGACCAUGACGACAGGGAGUCAAUCAAACACACCACGUUUCAAUCAAUUCGGUUUUUUGGUUUUCCUUCGGGGAAACUGGAUCACUGGUUGGUACGCAAAUGAAACUUUUCUUGCCAAAAUACUUCAGUAUUUUACAAAAUUUCUGAGCC
rnacentral:snoRNA from 1 species